AUUAAUAAGACGCCCUGAUUGUACUGGUUGUUCAAGGCAUUCAGUAAAUUCUUCACCAGCAUAAAGGUUAAUCGAAGUAAAUUGGAAUAUGCAAUCUGGUGAGACUUCUUUGUCAGAAUAAAAGUACCUUUUUC